GCGGAUAUGAUGGAAUUGGUAGAGCGGAUAUGAUGGAGUAGAGCGGAUAUGAUGGAAUUGGUAGACAUGCCAGGUUUAGGUUCUGGUGACCACAAUGUUCGUGGGGGUUCGAGUCCCUCUAUCCGUA
rnacentral:tRNA from 1 species